rnacentral:lncRNA from 1 species
CCUUCCCCGCCCCAGGCCUGCUGCCAACUUCCAGGCUGCCCCUCUCCCACCGCGGUCGGGGAGGCUUCAAAAGCCUCCAGCAGCGAGGACCCCGCCCACCGCGCCCCACCCACCGCACUGUCUGAGCUUCUUGAAGGAAAUUCCCGGCCGCGCCCGGCGCGGUCUCCCCGCCCCGGCCUGCCAGCUUGCUCUUGACUCUCACUGGUGCCCCCACCCUCGCUCACCCCACGGCCCCCGCCAUUCUUCUCCAGGCCUAGGCCAUCGCCAGAGAGGCCGGUGCGUGACUUCCUACUGCCUCGGAAUCGAGCGCAGCAAGCCCCUCUCUGGGCCUUCGCCAGCAUCCCCUGACCUGGGGAGACUGACGCCCGAGUCUGCAGCCACUGGUUCAUUUGCCUCAAUGGAGGUUCGAACGUGUCAACUGCCCUCCCGGGGAGCCUAGAGAGUGAAGGCAGCCUGGGCAUUCGACCUCUGUGAACUGAAGAGAGGUCGAUGGGGCAAAGUUGUGCUGCGCAGGCCGUUAAGAGCAGUCAUUUCUCACCGAAUUAAUUUGGAGCCUGGGUAGAAAAAACUUCUCUUUCCAGAUAACUAAGAGAAAAGGAACCAGGUAUUCUGGGUCACUAGUUAUGGUGAACUGUGAAGUAGCGUGGACGUUCGAGUACCCCGGGUGUCUUAACUCAAACCCUCAAGUUCCCUCACUGUGGAGCUGUACCCUCCGGAGGACUACACAGCGCACUGUGCUGGGAUGGGCUCUGUAUGGCCAGCUGGGUCAGGUUCCUCUAAGAGGGUCUCUUCUUGGCAGGAAGUUACCAUUCUCCCAGGCAGAUUGUGUUGAUGACAUUUAAGAGAUUUGUGUUCUGACUAAAUAAUGAUUCAGAAUGUUCCUCCAGGCCCACCACAUGUCACAAUCACUCACUUUGUUAAGAAUGGAGCUGGGUGUACACUAACUUACCAGCCGUACAUCCCCUCCCUGUCCAUCUCCAGCCAGCAGGAUUCUGCCCAGUCUUCAAGCCCUGUGAGACCCUGAGCAGAAAACCCAGCUGCACAAAGCCCAGACUUCUGACCUACAGAACCUCAAGAUCACUAACGGGUAUCGUUUUAAGCUGCUAAGCUUGUAGUGAUUUGUUACACAGCAAUAGAAAACCAACGCACAUGCUGUUUGAGUCAUGGAAAUAAUCAGAGCUCCCUUGCCCCCUGCGCCAUAUGAGGACACAGCAAGAAGACGGCUGUCUAUGAACCAGAAAGUGGGUCCUCACCAGACACCAAAUCUGCCAGCACCUUGAUCUUGGACUUCCAGCCUCC